GGAAGGCUCCGCUGAAUGGUCGGCGACUGGUCCCGAAAACCAGGGUGACCGCGAGGUCAGAGGUUCGAUUCCUCAGCCUUCCGCCA
rnacentral:tRNA from 1 species